GAUGAAGAACGCAGUGAAAUGCAAUAAGUAAUGUGAAUUGCAGAAUUCAGUGAAUCAUCGAAUCUUUGAACGCACAUUGCGCCCCCUGGUAUUCCGGGGGGCAUGCCUGUCCGAGCGUCAUUACAACCCUCAAGCUCAGCUUGGUGUUGGGCCCCGCCGCCCCGGCGGGCCCUAAAGUCAGUGGCGGUGCCGUCCGGCUCCGAGCGUAGUAAUUCUUCUCGCUCUGGAGGUCCGGUCGUGUGCUCGCCAGCAACCCCCAAUUUUUUUCAGGUUGACCUCGGAUCAGGUAGGGAUACCCGCUGAACUUAAGCAUAUCAAUAAGCGGAGGA
rnacentral:misc_RNA from 1 species